ensembl:lncRNA
CAGCAGUCUUAAAAAACAUUUGGAAUAGUCCAAUGAUAUAGAAGUAGAACAAAUGACCAUACUGUAGAAUCUAAAAUAAUAGAAAUCAAUAACCCAAGGUUCAAUAAAUUGGGAAACUUCAGCAACUAAGAAAUGAACUCCUUAUCUGAUAAAAAAAAUUUUUUUAACUAAAAAAAAAAAACUUCUGGCAGAACUGAAGCAGUCUGACAAAAAUUAGAUUAGAGCAACAUCUUAUAUCAUAUUCCACAACACAUUCAAAAUGGAUAGAUGACCUAAAAAUCAUAUUAUUUUUUUCCUUGUUAAAUAGUUGUUUAUUGGAAAAAGGGGGCCGAGGAGGGGUCACUAGAUUCACCACAGAGCAACAACACCAUGGGAGAAGUCAGCACAAAGCUCUGGGAUCUCAGCCUCUUCCUGGACUGUGAGGGAUGGCCUGGACUGUUAGGGCAUACCCAGAUGGAAGGCCUUGACUUAGUAGGCAUGGUUAGAGACAAAGAGGGACUCGCUGGCUGCAGCUCCUGACUUCCCAGAUGGAGUAUACUUGCCUUGAGCAGCCUGGCUAUUAGCCAAGGCCUGCUUAACAUAUUCCUCCUGGGCAGCCCAGACAUUUUCCUUCUUUCCACCCCAGGUCUUGAGGGCAGAUGCCUGCAGGGCUCAGCCACAAGAAAAGGUCAGGGCCCAUGGCUUGUGCAAGAGGCAGGUGUUGAUGGCAUUGAGAUUGAUGGAAGCAUCCUCCUCACUCUGACCCCCAGACAGGAAGAUGAUACCAGUGACUGCAGGAGGCACAGUCCGGUGAAGGGCAGUUACAGUUGCCAUUGCAAGCUCCUCAUGCGAAUAUUUCUGGGUACAAGCAUGGCCAGGAGUGACCAUGUGGUGGUCACUCAAAGCUUUGUAGACAGCAGCCAGAACCUUCUCGGUGACAUACUGGCAACACUUCAGAUCAUGUUCUCCAUCAGGGAGGAUCUCUGGCUCCACAAUGGGGACAAUGCCAUUCUGCUGGCAAAUGCUGGCAUAACUGGCCAGCACAUUGGCAUUGUCCAUGAUGGUAAGUGGAGGUGUAUUUUUCCCAAUCUUCAGAACACAACGCCACUUGGCAAAGUCAGUUUUCUGGUAGAGCGUCUCAUGGAAAAGGAUGACACCUCCAAUGCAGUUGUUCACUCGAUCAUCUGCUGUCAGAAGUAACUGCCUAUAAAGGCGGUAAUUUUCUUCUGUGUCCUCAGUUCCGAUGGGAUGGAUUGCAGCUGCUUUGCAAUGCUGCCUGUGGACUCAUCUGCAGCCAGGAUUCCCUUGCCUGGGCAACAAGUCUUCGAGCUAUUUCAGAGAGCUCUUUCUUUUGCUCUGGUGACAAUGCUGGGAGGCAUGUUUUUCCUUUGGCUGAACUGGUAGUUUCCUGGCCUCAGAGGUGAACUGCCGGCCUUGAUGGUGAGUUUACCGGCAGGAAGAAGACCACUUAUGGUAGAGAGCAGAACUUCUGCGCUUUCCGAAUGCGAACAUUGCCUAUUGAACUCAGGAGGGGGGUAAAAAUCAUAUUAUUAAAACAUGUUUUGAGGAAGUAAGUCAGGGCAGCUAAGUAACACAGUGGUCUCUGAAGGACAUAGAUUUAAAUCUGGCCUCAGAUACUUCCUAGCUGUGUCACCCUGGGCAAGUCACAACCCCAAUUACCUAGUUCUUGCUGCUCUUC